UGGACUAACAAAAGUGUCUUUUCCUCCUAAUUUCUACCACCAAAUCGCUCCGUUUCCCCGGUGAGGGAAGAGAAGACAAGGUGACCCAUUCUUGCUAUCAAGCCACUGAUGAUGGCAGCUAAGCACCAUGAAGGCUGGAUGUCCACCAUCCCUGAGAGCUCUGCAGGUGUGUGAGGUUGUUUCUACCAACUAGUUAAAUCCUUUUCAGUGUUGAAACAGACACUCACUUGUGCUGGAUUAGUUAAUAUCAUGGGAAAGAGGGCACACAGGCUGCAAACCUUGAGCACAGCAGAGCAUCCCUGUCCUGAAUCUAGGGACAUCCAGAGUGAGGAGAAGCAAAUGACCAAUACGUUCUGGGGAAACUUGGAGAUUCUGCUGCCCCUUAUACUGGAUUCUGGAUAGAGAUUUAAGAUCAUAACAUGGUAAGAACACUCUCAGUGAUUUGCAUCGAGCAUCCAUCUUGACCAACAUUCUGUUCAUGACAGUAGAACACUCUCAGUGAUUUGCAUCGAGCAUCCAUCUUGACCAACAUUCUGUUCAUGACAGUAGGCACUGAAAAAGAACAUAACAACAAGGCAGUAACUGAUACCACAUCAAAAUGAUCCCUGAGCCCCUAAUGACUGGUAGGCCAGCAACCCCCCUGUAUCAGAAUGGAUAUUUUUGAACAGAAGAUCCGUGAAUGCAUUUCUCUCAUCCUUGUUUAUUGACUGCUUUCUUGGAGCAUAGCACCUCUCCUUUCCCAUGCUCUACCAUAUAUCUUCAUCUCAACACAUGGAAAAUUGGAGGAACAAAAAGAGUAGAGACAGGAGAUGGGCAAAUGAGUAAUGAGCGUAUAUUUUACAUAGAACAACAAGAAGGUCAUCCGUAUUCGUCUAUAUUCAGUCAAGUAUGCUGUGUGUUUGUGUGCACACAAAUGCGUAUGUUACAGGACAGAACUGGAAAAUAUACUUUCAAUAGAGCAGAUGAAGUGGAACAAGAUAACAGUCGGUAUAUGGGGGGAGUUGAAAAUCCUUCAUGCAGACAGGGAGUUGAAAAUAUAUCUGAAGGUGAGGGAUUGAGAAGGCAUUUGACAGUACAGUGAAAAAGAAAUCUGGAGUCUUCAGGGCCAAAGAUAUUGCUGGAUAAAAUAUCUCAGCUGAAAGAUGCUGGGAAAGAUGACCUCAUCAUUAUAUUUUUAGAUCAUGUCAUUCACACACAUCUUCUUUCCUGGAGAUGGAGUAGUUGAGGCAGCACCAAAUGUGACAGCUAGUGAGACAAAGGCUUUCCACACUUCACAAAGACAUUCCUGAGCCAUUCAUCUUGAAGAGCUCC